AGAACGCCAGCAACUGGAAUGUGUUACAGAUUUCUUUCUAGAUUACCUGCGGUGUUUAAAGCACCCGCACUUUGAAACCAGCCUACCACAGAGGCAAUUUCUACUGUAAUUUAUUACUGUAACUUAUCGACACCUUUUUUUUUUUUAACCUAUAAACUGCCAAACUUGUUUACUUGUUUGAGGCUGUCUAAAAUCUGACAUUUUGCAGUUAUUCUUCAAACUGUGCUGGGAAUGCGCCGCAGCUAACUCCCGUUCACGCCGUCGUCCGAAAGAGCGCAGACCCGAAUCUGGCUGUAGCUUUGCGGAAUAGCUUUCUUCCAGGCUGGGGGCGGGAGGGCGCUGGAUAGUUUCAACCCGGAACUGUGGUGCUGAUCAUUCAAUCGGCUUAGCUACAGCUAAAACGUACUAGGCUACUGUACCGUACACAACUUUGGCAAAACUUUCCCCCCCAAGUUUUAUUGGAGAGCUAAAAAAAAAAAAAAAAGUAAAUAGCGAUUCCUAAGCAACAGGAGACAACAGAAGCAUAUUGUAACAGGUAUCUGACUGGGAGCUCUCCUGUCUUCCACGGUGACCCGGAGCAGGGUCGAGGACACACGCUGACACUGCUGCCUCACCAUGGCUCCCCAGAAGGACAUUGUGAAGAUCGCUAUCCAGAUGCCUGGGGCUUACCCCCAGCUCAUCGACCUGGACCAG